UACGAACGCUGGCGGCGUGCUUAACACAUGCAAGUCGAACGAUGAAGCCCAGCUUGCUGGGUGGAUUAGUGGCGAACGGGUGAGUAACACGUGAGUAACCUGCCCCUGACUCUGGGAUAAGCGUUGGAAACGACGUCUAAUACUGGAUAUGACUACUGGUCGCAUGGCCUGGUGGUGGAAAGAUUUUUUGGUUGGGGAUGGACUCGCGGCCUAUCAGCUUGUUGGUGAGGUAAUGGCUCACCAAGGCGACGACGGGUAGCCGGCCUGAGAGGGUGACCGACCACACUGGGACUGAGACACGGCCCAGACUCCUACGGGAGGCAGCAGUGGGGAAUAUUGCACAAUGGGCGAAAGCCUGAUGCAGCAACGCCGCGUGAGGGAUGACGGCCUUCGGGUUGUAAACCUCUUUUAGUAGGGAAGAAGCGAAAGUGACGGUACCUGCAGAAAAAGCACCGGCUAACUACGUGCCAGCAGCCGCCGUAA
rnacentral:rRNA from 1 species